rnacentral:rRNA from 1 species
CAGCAGCCACGGGAAUACGAAGGGGGCUAGCGUUGCUCGGAAUGACUGGGCGUAAAGGGCGCGUAGGCGGCGGCCAAAGUCAGGCGUGAAAUUCCCGGGCUCAACCUGGGGGCUGCGUUUGAUACUUGGUUGCUUGAGUGGGGAAGAGGGUUGUGGAAUUCCCAGUGUAGAGGUAAAAUUCGUAGAUAUUGGGAAGAACACCGGUGGCGAAGGCGGCAACCUGGUCCUUGACUGACGCUGAGGCGCGAAAGCGUGGGGAGCAAACAGGAUUAGAUACCCCUGUAGUCCCUGUCUCUUAUAC